AGACUGGUAAGGAGAGGGAGGAGUUUCUUAAGGAAAUUCUGUAGAGUAUUUAAGCGAGAGGAAGCAGAGAUCCGUCCUUUCUUAUCCUGCAGACUCUCUUGUCUGAGAUGGAGCGGAGAUGGUCUACUUGUUUGCUGUGAUCUAGUGUGCAGUUUGCUGCCACCAGAUGACUGCACACGAGUUGAGACGUCACGCUGCCUAAGGCUCUUUCAGGCUUUUAGCCAAUGCUUGCGUUUAUUUUUUUAUUUUGAGGAGGAGAGGAGGAGAACCAAUCUGCCAAGGGAUUCGGCACUCGGGUCCGCUGCCCUGUUCUAGUGCAUUCUCUGGCAACACUGGAUGUCUGGCUGGGGUCCAGUGGACCUGAAGUGGACAGAGCCAGGUCUAUGACCCGCUAAUGAAGCACCAGAAACUAGAAGCAACCGAACAAUCAAUCACAAAAGCCGACAACUUCCCCUAACCUUUUUCCCUUUGGUCGGCUUCUGGUUGUCUGUUGCUUGGUUAGUAGGUUAUGGGGAUGGCCUGCUGUAAAACCAACCUUUUUUUGAAUAAAGGCUGACUGCAACUUCUUCCUAAAAAAGUAAAAAAUCAAUAAAAAUGGAAAAACCUGCUGAACUAAAA